AGGGCGCACGGUGGAUGCCUUGGCACUAGAAGCCGAUGAAGGACGUUACUAACGACGAUAUGCUUUGGGGAGCUGUAAGUAAGCUUUGAUCCAGAGAUUUCCGAAUGGGGAAACCCAGCAUGAGUUAUGUCAUGUUAUCGAUAUGUGAAUACAUAGCAUAUCAGAAGGCACACCCGGAGAACUGAAACAUCUUAGUACCCGGAGGAAGAGAAAGAAAAUUCGAUUCCCUUAGUAGCGGCGAGCGAAACGGGAAGAGCCCAAACCAACAAGCUUGCUUGUUGGGGUUGUAGGACACUCUAUACGGAGUUACAAAGGACGACAUUAGACGAAUCAUCUGGAAAGAUGAAUCAAAGAAGGUAAUAAUCCUGUAGUCGAAAAUGUUGUCUCUCUU
rnacentral:rRNA from 1 species